CAACUUUUCAACAACGGAUCUCUUGGCCCCUCGCAUCGAUGAAGAACGCAGCGAAAUGCGAUAAGUAAUGUGAAUUCCAGAUUUUCAGUGAAUCAUCGAAUCUUUGAACCACCUUUGCGCUCCUUGGUAUUCCGAGGAGCAUGCCUGUUUUGAGU
rnacentral:rRNA from 1 species